UGGGGAAUAUUGCACAAUGGGCGAAAGCCUGAUGCAGCGACGCCGCGUGCGGGAUGAAGGCCUUCGGGUUGUAAACCGCUUUUAAUUGGGAGCAAGCGAGAGUGAGUGUACCUUUUGAAUAAGCACCGGCUGACUACGUGCCAGCAGCCGCGGUAAUACGUAGGGUGCAAGCGUUAUCCGGAAUUAUUGGGCGUAAAGAGCUCGUAGGCGGUUUGUCACGCCUGGUGUGAAAGUCCAUCGCUUAACGGUGGAUCUGCGCCGGGUACGGGCAGGCUAGAGUGCAGUAGGGGAGAUUGGAAUUCCCGGUGUAACGGUGGAAUGUGUAGAUAUCGGGAAGAACACCAAUGGCGAAGGCAGAUCUCUGGGCUGUUACUGACGCUGAGGAGCGAAAGCAUGGGGAGCGAACAGGAUUAGAUACCCUGGUAGUCCAUGCCGUAAAACGGUGGAUGCUGGAUGUGGGACCCUUCCACGGGUUCCGUGUCGGAGCUAACGCGUUAAGCAUCCCGCCUGGGGAGUACGGCCGCAAGGCUAAAAC
rnacentral:rRNA from 1 species